UGUAGAAAAAAGAGGUGAGUUGUUUGUUGCUGUGGUAAACAAAGAAGUGUACUGAAUCUUUUGGACUACACAGAUUGAUGUAGUAUUGACUGUGAUGCUGAUUUGAGUUUUCUCAUUCUGUAUUUUUGUGCUUUGUCUUUUGUUACACAGAGUGAAAGAGAUCUUUGGUUUUGCCUUUGCUGACUGCUGAUCUGAUCGUCUCAAGUCUGGUGACCUGCUGCAGAAGAUCCUCUCUCUCUAUCAUUAUAAGCAAUUCUGUCUAUCCUAUCACUCUCCCGACUCUAUCUAAUUUGACAGCCAUUCUAUCUUGUAUCCCUCUAUCCUCUACUGCUCUAUCUAAUUUGACAGCCAUUCUAUCUUGUAUCCCUCUAUCUCUACUGCUCUAUCUAAUUUG